rnacentral:rRNA from 1 species
UUGAAGAGUUUGAUCAUGGCUCAGAUUGAACGCUGGCGGCAGGCCUAACACAUGCAAGUCGAGCGGAUGAAGGGAGCUUGCUCCUGGAUUCAGCGGCGGACGGGUGAGUAAUGCCUAGGAAUCUGCCUGGUAGUGGGGGAUAACGUUCCGAAAGGAACGCUAAUACCGCGUACGUCCUACGGGAGAAAGCAGGGGACCUUCGGGCCUUGCGCUAUCAGAUGAGCCUAGGUCGGAUUAGCUAGUUGGUGAGGUAAUGGCUCACCAAGGCGACGAUCCGUAACUGGUCUGAGAGGAUGAUCAGUCACACUGGAACUGAGACACGGUCCAGACUCCUACGGGAGGCAGCAGUGGGGAAUAUUGCACAAUGGGGGAAACCCUGAUGCAGCCAUGCCGCGUGUGUGAAGAAGGCCUUCGGGUUGUAAAGCACUUUCAGUUGUGAGGAAAAGUUAGUAGUUAAUACCUGCUAGCCGUGACGUUAACAACAGAAGAAGCACCGGCUAACUCCGUGCCAGCAGCCGCGGUAAUACGGAGGGUGCGAGCGUUAAUCGGAAUUACUGGGCGUAAAGCGCACGCAGGCGGUUUGUUAAGCUAGAUGUGAAAGCCCCGGGCUCAACCUGGGAUGGUCAUUUAGAACUGGCAGACUAGAGUCUUGGAGAGGGGAGUGGAAUUCCAGGUGUAGCGGUGAAAUGCGUAGAUAUCUGGAGGAACAUCAGUGGCGAAGGCGACUCCCUGGCCAAAGACUGACGCUCAUGUGCGAAAGUGUGGGUAGCGAACAGGAUUAGAUACCCUGGUAGUCCACACCGUAAACGAUGAAUGCCAGUCGUCGGGUAGUAUACUAUUCGGUGACACACCUAACGGAUUAAGCAUUCCGCCUGGGGAGUACGGUCGCAAGAUUAAAACUCAAAGGAAUUGACGGGGGCCCGCACAAGCGGUGGAGCAUGUGGUUUAAUUCGAAGCAACGCGCAGAACCUUACCAGCCCUUGACAUUUGGUGUUACCUCCAGAGAUGGAGGGUUCCCUUCGGGGACGCCAGGACAGGUGCUGCAUGGCUGUCGUCAGCUCGUGCCGUGAGGUGUUGGGUUAAGUCCCGCAACGAGCGCAACCCUUGUCGUUAGUUGCCAGCACAUAGUGGUGGGGACUCUAACGAGACUGCCUAGGUUAACUAGGAGGAAGGUGAGGAUGACGUCAAGUCCGCAUGGCCUUUAUGUCUGGGGCUACACACGUGCUACAAUGGUCGGUACAGAAGGCAGCGAAGCCGAAAGGUGAAGCAAAUCCCUAAAACCGAUCUCAGUUCGAAUAGAAGUCUGCAACUCGACUUCUUGAAGUUGGAAUUGCUAGUAAUGACGUGUCAGCAAUAACGUCGUGAAUACGUUCCCGGGCCUUGUACACACCGCCCGUCACACCAUGGGAGUUGGUUUUACCCGAAGGCGCUGUGCUAACCGCAAGGAGGCAGGCGACCACGGUAGGGUCAGCGACUGGGGUGAAGUCGUAACAAGGUAGCCGUAGGGGAACCUGCGGCUGGAUCACCUCCUU